CCCGGCACAUUCCGCCGCCCGCAGGCUUGCGGGGAAACUUCCUUAUUAUUGUGACGCCGAAAUUGGAGAAACCCUGAGCCGGGUCGGUGGAGCCGUCACCGUCGGAAUCCCGCGCGGCGGUUCAGCGGCCGCAGAGAUCUGCAGUGUGAGGUGGAACCAUUCUGGCUUAAGUACAGAUGCCAAGUGUGUGUGACCUGUGCAUUGAACUCACAGCCAACCGCACUGGAACUCACGCAUGAACGCAGCUAAUCUAUCACAGCUCUCUUCUAGGCUACAUGACUCCCUGAAGGACAAGAACGAUGUUAUGUUGGGGAUAUUGGUCUCUGGGCCAACCUGGGAUGAGCACUAACCUGCAAGGGAUUGUGGCCGAGCCACAGGUGUGUGGAUUUGUGUCCGACAGAAGCGUCAAGGAAGUGGCCUGCGGAGGAAGCCACUCCGUGUUCCUGCUGGAGGAUGGGGAAGUUUACACGUGCGGUUUGAACACCAAGGGGCAGCUGGGCCACGAGAGGGAAGGAAACAAGCCAGAGCAAAUUGGAGCUCUGGCAGAUCAGCAUAUUGUCCACGUGGCGUGUGGUGAGUCCCACAGUCUGGCCCUCAGUGACCGGGGCCAGCUGUUUUCUUGGGGCGCAGGGAGCGAUGGUCAACUAGGACUCAUGACUACCGAGGACUCUGUGGCAGUACCCAGGUUAAUACAGAAGCUGAACCAGCAGACGAUAUUGCAAGUUUCCUGUGGCAACUGGCACUGCUUGGCUCUUGCAGCUGAUGGCCAGUUCUUCACGUGGGGGAAGAACAGCCAUGGGCAGCUGGGCCUGGGGAAGGAGUUCCCCUCCCAAGCCAGCCCGCAGAGGGUGAGGUCCCUGGAGGGGAUCCCGCUGGCACAGGUGACUGCAGGAGGGGCCCACAGCUUUGCCCUGUCUCUCUCGGGAGCCGUAUUCGGCUGGGGGAUGAAUAACGCGGGGCAGCUCGGGCUCAGUGAUGAGAAAGAUCGAGAGUCUCCUUGCCACGUGAAGCUCCUACGAACACAGAAAGUCGUCUAUAUCAGCUGCGGAGAAGAGCACACAGCAGUGCUCACUAAAAGUGGAGGUGUGUUUACCUUUGGUGCUGGUUCCUGUGGGCAACUUGGACAUGAUUCCAUGAAUGAUGAGGUUAAUCCAAGAAGAGUUCUGGAGCUGAUGGGCAGUGAAGUCACUCAGAUUGCCUGUGGCAGACAACACACCCUAGCCUUUGUGCCUUCUUCUGGACUCAUCUAUGCAUUUGGUUGUGGAGAAAGAGGUCAGUUAGGAACUGGACACACUUGUAAUGUCAAGUGCCCGUCUCCUGUGAAAGGUUGCUGGGCCGCCCAUAGCGGCCAGCUUUCAGCCAGAGCUGAUCGCUUUAAAUAUCAUAUUGUUAAGCAGAUCUUCUCUGGAGGAGACCAGACUUUUGUACUUUGCUCCAAAUAUGAGAAUUCUUCUCCGGCCGUCGACUUCAGGAUGAUGAACCAAGCACAUUACACCAGUUUAAUCAAUGAUGAAACCAUAGCAGUUUGGAGACAGAAACUCUCAGAACACAACAAUGCAAAUACAAUCAACGGUGUCAUUCAGAUAUUAUCUUCUGCAGCCUGCUGGAAUGGAAGUUUUCUUGAGAAAAAAAUUGACGAGCAUUUUAAAACAAGUCCCAAAAUCCCUGGGAUUGACCUGAACUCAACUAGAGUGUUAUUUGAGAAGUUAAUGAACUCUCAGCACUCCAUGAUUCUAGAACAGAUCUUAAAUAGCUUUGAAAGUUGCCUGAUUCCUCAGUUGUCAAGUUCACCACCAGAUGUUGAAGCAAUGAGAAUCUACUUAAUACUACCGGAGUUUCCCCUGCUCCAGGAUUCUAAGUAUUACAUAACGUUGACUAUUCCCCUGGCUAUGGCCAUUCUGCGGCUGGAUACAAACCCCAGCAAAGUCUUAGAUAACUGGUGGUCUCAGGUAUGCCCGAAAUAUUUCACGAAGCUGGUAAACCUCUAUAAAGGUGCAGUCGUUUAUCUACUGAGAGGAAGAAAGACAUUCUUAAUUCCUGUACUGUUUAACAAUUACGUUACAGCAGCGCUCAAGCUCUUGGAGAAGUUAUACAAGGUAAAUCUUAAAGUGAAGCAUGUGGAAUAUGAUACAUUUUAUAUUCCUGAGGUUUCCAGUCUUGUGGACAUUCAGGAAGACUACCUCAUGUGGUUCUUACAUCAAGCAGGCAUGAAGGCUAGACCAUCUAUAAUGCAGGAUGCUGUAACACUGUGUUCCUACCCUUUCAUCUUUGAUGCCCAAGCCAAGACCAAAAUGUUACAGACCGAUGCUGAACUGCAGAUGCAGGUGGCGGUCAACGGGGCCAACCUGCAGAACGUCUUCAUGCUUCUCACCUUGGAGCCUCUGCUGGCCAGAAGCCCCUUCCUGGUCCUUCAUGUUCGCAGGAGCAGCCUUGUUGGAGAUGCCCUGAGAGAGCUGAGCAUUCAUUCUGAUAUUGAUCUGAAAAAGCCUCUCAGAGUCAUUUUUGAUGGUGAAGAAGCAGUGGAUGCUGGUGGUGUCACAAAGGAGUUCUUUCUUUUACUAUUAAAAGAAUUGUUGAAUCCCAUCUAUGGAAUGUUUACCUACUAUCAGGAUUCAAAUCUCUUGUGGUUUUCAGAUACGUGUUUUGUAGAGCACAACUGGUUUCACUUGAUUGGCAUAACCUGUGGACUCGCCAUCUACAACUCCACCGUGGUGGACCUGCACUUCCCGCUGGCUCUCUAUAAGAAGCUACUGAACGUGAAGCCUGGCCUGGAAGACUUGAAGGAGCUGUCACCCACGGAAGGAAGGAGUCUUCAAGAACUUUUAGAUUACCCUGGGGAAGAUAUUGAGGAGACUUUCUGCCUCAACUUCACGAUUUGUCGAGAAAGCUAUGGCGUGAUUGAACAGAAGAAGCUGAUACCUGGGGGAGACAGAGUGGCUGUGUGCAAGGAGAACAGGCAGGAAUUUGUGGAUGCUUACGUGAAUUAUGUCUUCCAAAUCUCAGUUCAUGAAUGGUACACAGCUUUCUCCAGCGGCUUCCUAAAGGUGUGUGGUGGCAAAGUGCUUGAGCUCUUCCAGCCUUCGGAACUGAGGGCCAUGAUGGUGGGGAACAGCAACUACAACUGGGAGGCCCUGGAGGAGACUGCCAUCUACAAGGGUGAUUACUCAGCCACACAUCCCACUGUGAAACUAUUUUGGGAAACAUUUCAUGAGUUCCCACUGGAAAAGAAGAAGAAGUUUCUCUUGUUCCUGACGGGCAGCGAUCGCAUCCCCAUCUACGGCAUGGCCAGCCUGCAGAUUGUCAUCCAGUCCACAGCCAGCGGGGAGGAGUACUUGCCCGUGGCCCACACUUGCUACAACCUUCUUGACCUCCCCAAGUACAGCAGCAAAGAGGUCCUGUGUGCACGGCUGACCCAGGCCCUUGACAACUACGAGGGGUUCAGCUUGGCCUGAGGCUCCCCAGCUUGCCCCCGAUUCCCCUUCCUUCCUCCACGUCCACAGUGAGGCCCAUACAGAAAACCAUGGGGAAAUGGGUAGCUUGCUUUCAGUAGAAGAAUUAAGUCAUCUACCCGAGUAAUCUAAUAGAAGGUCAAACUUGCUUCCUGCCACAAGAGAGAGAGUAGAACCAACUGCUGGGAAAAUGAAGAGGAAAACAGGGUAGGGGGGGAGCAUAUGGCAUUAAGGAGGGCUGGGAUUUCUGAAGCUUCUGGUGGGUGAAAAGGCAUUUCUCACGGAGGGGAAGGCCUUAGCAAGGGCUUGAACAUGGGGAAGUAUUUAAGGAAGGGCCAGGAACAAUUCGAAGGGAGCAUCAGAGGAAACAGAAUAAUGGUAAAUACAACUGGGGAGAAAGACAGUAAGUUUGGGGCUGAGGAACCAGGCUAAGCCUUGGACCUUCAAAAUGUUCAGAGCCUUGGGGUGGGGGAAGGAGGCAGUGAUAUGAGUUGAGCCUGGUUUUAAGGAAAUGCGGAUAAGGGUACUUGUGUUGGAAUGGAGUGGGAAGGACAGCAGCUGAGAGCAGUAGGGUGGGGGGCAGCAGUGGAAAGAGAAGAGCUGUGCGCAGGAGGGACGGGAGGAGGGGAGGCGAUGGGAGCCUUCAGGGAAAAGGAGGAAUUAAAGGUGAAUCUAAGACUUAGUAAUCUAAUGGCUGAUGCUAAUUAGCCCACUUACACACAGCAAAAAAUAUUUUCAGUAAGUUUUAAAAAUUACCAUGUACUGUUUGUUUUUACCAGACUUAAUAGAUGGUUUAAAAGUGGUAAAGAGAACAGUAGCUUUCCAUUAAUAAGUUCCAUUCAACAAACACUUAAGAGCAUACAUAAGUGCUCAGUUUGCAGGACAAAAAAAGCCUGUUACCUUUAAUUUUGAAUGAAAAUAGCCAAGUUAUUUUAAAUUUGAGGGGGGGGUCCUUCAGAAUCCUCAUGCAUGGAAUAAGGAGAUUGGACCAGAUGAUUCCUAAGGUCACUGAGCUCUAACACUGCUGUACAUACAGAUAGAUGCUCAAUAAAUUCUUCCAAAUGUUUCUUGCAUGAAUGAAAUUCUGUGCUGCUUUUCUAAAAACGAUUUUUCUGGCAUAUUCUCCUCUUUUUUCCUUUAUCACUAUUGCUUUAGAAGACUCUUCAGGUAGGCAUUUCUAGAUUUACCUACCUGCCUACCUACCUACCUACCUACCUUCCCUCACCUGCAGACAGACAUUCGGAAGUUUCUUCAGUUUUCAGAAAUGUACCUAUUUAAUGAAAAAAAUCUCAUUAAAAUAAGGCCACUUGUGGUGGGUGGGGUUUAAUGACAGUGUAACCAGGCGAUUUAGCCAAUUGUGAUAGCUCCCGCUCCGCCUGAAAGCUUCUUGACCAGAAAGGUUCUCUAUUAAUAAUCCCGGAGAGCAGGGUUGGCAGCUACAGCCUGUGAGCUAAAAUGGGUUUUACAUUUUUAAGAGGGUCUGGUCUAUAAAGCCUAACAAACCAUGUUAACAUCCGGCCCUUUACAGAAAAAGACUUGCCCCAACCCUUUGAGACCAGACUUGCAGGAAUCACAGUAACAGAGUUGGUAACUUACUUACUGAAGUGUCAGGAGGAACUCGGUCAUAGCUGACGUUGACCUAGAGAGACAUGUCUGGGCCUUUCUGCCGCAGGGGUAAGCAAAGCAAGCUUUGUCUAAGAUUAACCCACAGAAAUAGGCACCAAGGUUUCGAGUGUGGUGACAACCAGGUAAUGACGGUGGCCAGACCCUGCGCCAAGCAUUAUCUACGCGCUAUUCAGUUUCAUUGCUACCACUGCCCUCCUGGCUCGACCGUUCACUAGCUGUGUGGCCUUGGGCCACACAGCUAACCUCUCUGUAGCUCAUUUUCUUCCUACUUAAAAUGGGAAUAAAAAUAAUGCCUCCCUCAUGGAGUUGUAAUGAGAAGUAAAUGAAUUAAUUA